rnacentral:rRNA from 1 species
CUAGUAAUCGCGAAUCAGAAUGUCGCGGUGAAUACGUUCCCGGGCCUUGUACACACCGCCCGUCACACCAUGAGAGUCGAUAACACCCGAAGCCUGUGAGCUAACCUUUUAGGAGGCAGCAGUCGAAGGUGGGGGUUGAUGAUUGGGGGUGAAGUCGUAACAAGGUAUC